GGAGUGGGAGCGCCUGGACCCAGCACGGAGGGACUUCUGCAGAGAGAGUGUGCAGAAGGAUUCCGGGAGCACAGUUCCGCCGAGUGACACUGUUUAUGGACCGUAAGAGCUGAUCGCUGUCUGAAGGCUUGCCCACAGACCUUACACUCAAAAGGAUUCUCUAAAAAGUGAAUUCUUUGAUGUUGAUCAAACCAUGCCUUACGCCUAAUGACUUUUCCACAUUCACUGCAUUCAUAAGACUUUGCUCUUGUGAGAAUUUGCUCGUGCCCCAAAAGCAAAGAUCUUUGAUUGAAGGGUUUGCCAUCCUCAUCAUAUCUGCCCUGCUUCCACCUUGUUUGUGCGUUCUGGUCUUGAAUAAGGUUAAGGUUUUGAAGGAAGCCUCUGCUGUAUUCAUCACCACUAGUAGGGAAAGUAAGCCUGCAACUGUCCACAAAUUCUUUACACUUAUGUAACGUUUUUGAAAGUUUCUCAGCUGAUUCCUGCAUUACCACUGAUAUCUUAUAUGAGUCUAAAUCUUCAGAAAAUUUC
rnacentral:sRNA from 1 species